CACUCCUGCGGGAGGCAGCAGUGGGGAAUUUUGGACAAUGGGCGAAAGCCUGAUCCAGCAAUGCCGCGUGCAGGAUGAAGGCCUUCGGGUUGUAAACUGCUUUUGUACGGAACGAAAAAGCUCCUUCUAAUACAGGGGGCCCAUGACGGUACCGUAAGAAUAAGCACCGGCUAACUACGUGCCAGCAGCCGCGGUAAUACGUAGGGUGCGAGCGUUAAUCGGAAUUACUGGGCGUAAAGCGUGCGCAGGCGGUUAUGUAAGACAGAUGUGAAAUCCCCGGGCUCAACCUGGGAACUGCAUUUGUGACUGCAUGGCUAGAGUACGGUAGAGGGGGAUGGAAUUCCGCGUGUAGCAGUGAAAUGCGUAGAUAUGCGGAGGAACACCGAUGGCGAAGGCAAUCCCCUGGACCUGUACUGACGCUCAUGCACGAAAGCGUGGGGGGCAAACAGGAUUAGAUACCCGAGUAGUCCCAUG
rnacentral:rRNA from 1 species